UUGGCUCAUUGUUUGACGGUAUAGUCCAUCAUGUUUGAGAAAGCACAGCGGGAGCGAGAGACAUCUGUUUCACAGUCAGGAAGCAGGGAGGGAUGAGUGCUGGUGCUCAGCUCACAUUUCCCCUUUCCAUUCAGUCCUAGGCCUUCCUCACCAUGCCAUGUAAGAGUGCUGCUCACAUUUACAGUGGGUCUUCCCGCCUCAGUUAACGCAACCUAAAAACUCUCCCACAGGCACGCCCAGAAGCUUGUCUCCUGGGUGACUCUAGAUCCUGCCAAACUGGCAGUCACACGCUCAGCAUGCAGCGCACAGCUAGUGCUCACCCACCAUUAGCAGUGAUCUUGGGGACAGGAGAUCUUGGGGACAGUCUGGCUCAGUGACUCUCAACCCUGCCGGCCCAUUGACAAGUUUGGGACAUCCAGAGGCCUGAGCCUGACCUCAAACCAAUGAUCCUUGGGGUAAGGCCAAGGCCUGGGACAGAAACAUGAGCUGAGAUGAGAAUCCUUCAUUUUACCGAUAGGAGAUAGAGGACUUAUUCAAGUACUCCUGGAACCGUGUCUACUUCCUCGCGUGAUUUCCCAGUCUCAUCCAGACCCACGUCCGAGGCCCGGAAGGGAACACAGACCAUGAGAAAAUCCACGCACGCGUGCUUAUUCUGCCCAUCCUUCCAGCCGAGGCCCAGGAGGAAGCGGUAGGGGCAGAAAUGCCACAGCUUCUGGUUUUGACUUCUCACACCACUCACCAACCUCAGACUCAGACUCAGCCACAGCUCCUCUACAGCAUCGGAGGAGAGGCUCAUCUGCUCCACACACAGAAAGGCAGAGAUGUCACCAAAUGCCUGCUGUGCCCGGACUAGGGCUGCCUUCCUGGUUCUUUCAAGUCUUCCAACUGCUUCCAGGUGACAAGAGUCUUGAUUGUCUUGAGCACCGGGUUGCA